GAUUAGGUAACUUAUUUGGUAGAGCAUGAGACUCUUAAUCUUAGGAUGGUGGGUUCAAGACCCAUGUUGAACA